rnacentral:rRNA from 1 species
AACGAACGCUGGCGGCAUGCCUAACACAUGCAAGUCGAACGAGACCUUCGGGUCUAGUGGCGUACGGGUGCGUAACGCGUGGGAACCUGCCCUUAGGUUCGGAAUAACUCCCCGAAAGGGGUGCUAAUACCGGAUAAUGUCUUCGGACCAAAGAUUUAUCGCCUUUGGGUGGGCCCGCGUUGGAUUAGCUAGUUGGUAGGGUAAAAGCCUACCAAGGCGACGAUCCAUAGCUGGUCUGAGAGGAUGAUCAGCCACACUGGGACUGAGACACGGCCCAGACUCCUACGGGAGGCAGCAGUGGGGAAUAUUGGACAAUGGGCGAAAGCCUGAUCCAGCAAUGCCGCGUGAGUGAUGAAGGCCUUAGGGUUGUAAAGCUCUUUUACCCGGGAUGAUAAUGACAGUACCGGGAGAAUAAGCUCCGGCUAACUCCGUG